CAUCAUCCAUGUCAGAAAUUCGGUUCACGUAUGCUUGACAUGUUGAAACUCACCGUUUCAUUUAUUCGGUGGUAUUGUGGGCUUUAGUUGUUGCGGAUACAGGAGGUGAUGGGCUCUUUGUUGUUAAGCAAUUUGUGUGGGAUGGGGGCCGAAGAAACAGAGUGCGUCUCUUACCCUAGGAUUUCAAACGCGAUUGUUCAUCUUCUUUCUUACAAUCUGAAAGGAUACCUGUUACAUAUUCAUCUUCUUAAAACCCUCCAUUAAUCCAUCACCCAUGAUCUGUCUUCAAUGCAAGCUUCAAUCCUGCAAGGCUGUGUAGCUGCAUGUAUAAAAAGACCGGACGCUCCUCCUCCACCGUUCAAGUGCAGUUGCUCCGGUUCUGGGAGGCCAUGAACAUCAUCCUCUCACUUAAGUUUAUUGUAUUACUUCCACCGUCUAAAAGUAGAACCGCCUCUGUUUUCUCUGGGUCGUCUUCUUAUUGAAGAGGAAGCAUAUCAGCAUAUGAGGGAUAGAAGAAAAACAGAGGGAUGAUGAAUAAUACGCGUAAGGGCUACGCCACUGUUGAAGAUAUAAGGAAAAUAUCCAUAGCCAAAGCUUCAGCCAUUAAUGGCGGCGGGAGGAAUCACUUGGAGGCGGAGGGGAGAGAACUUUACUUAGCGCCUUGGCGGUGGUGGUGGUCGGAGUUGGUCUAUCUAACAGGCGCCUCCUUCUGUCAACUUCUCCAUGACACCGAGCGGUUUCAGUUUAUCAACAGCAUAGGAAAAGGUCCUCUUGGUGCUCAUGUCAAACAUGUCAUUGAAAUCUUAUUUGAGGUUUCGGCUUCCUUAUUUCACCUUCUGUCUGCAAUAAUGUUAUACCUCUCACAUAUGUAAAGUUGAAUUUCAUUUGGAUAUCCUUUUCACCAGAGAAAAUAAACGGAAGUUGUUAUGUUAUUAUCCUUUCCAGAAAGGCUGUUUUGAUGAUUUGAGGAACUAUGUAUGACGGGAGAAGGUUCUCUUACAAGGUAUAUACUUUACGUUUGAUUAAAGUUUUUUUUUUUUUGAACAGCAACAAUGCUGUUGUCACAGGGUAAGCACGAUGUCAAAUAUCCUGCUGGGGCUGCAGCUGUUGAUCUGAACGUAGCUUACCGAAUGUCAUGGAGGAUUUUCAGGUUUGCUUUUGUUUUAUACAGUUGGUCUACAUAAGUGUUUGGUCACCUUAGAUACAGUUGGUUUUGGUUGGACAAAAUUGUCCCGUGUGUUUAUGUGAAUAUAUAUGGUUUGGUUCUUGAUUGUGUUUGAGUUGUGCAUGCUCUGGAAGUUUAAACACAGAUAUGGUUCCUAUGAGGCGCUGAUUCACAAGGGAAUAUUGUGUACCCUAACAAAUUCAAACCUCAGGUCGAGGAUGAUGACAGGUUUAAAUUUCUUUUCCACAACAUAACAUCCCAAACGACCUGCUUGGCGUUUAGAAUGAGCUGCUUAAGAUUGUCUGAAGCCAGUGAUGAACGCUACGCAAAGGAGAGCUGCUGCACAGAUUCAAGGUGUACAGAACAAACCAAUACAUAUGAAGAAGAAACAAGAGAUUAGCAGAGAACAAAAUUCACCAACUCACAUUUUCCCGAGCUCUUCCAUAUCCUCAAUGGUAGCACUUCCCAUAUCAAAUUUUGGGUCAGUUAUUAAGCAUGAAGAAAUUUAUUUGCGCAUCUCAUCAAAAGAUGAAUCAAAGUACUACCGAAAUUACAACUUCUGCUUUUCUAUGUUGAUGUGAAUAUUUUCGUUUCUUUCAAUGUCACUGAUUAUUAAAAUGUUUGUGGACCAUUAAUUAUUUAUUAAAAUAUAUGGUUUAAAUA